rnacentral:tRNA from 1 species
UUAAUAGAAGCCAAAGAGAGGCAUAUCACUGUUAAUGAUAUAAUUGAAAUUAUAGAUUUCCUAUUAAG